AACCACUUAUCUGAUUGAGAUGAAAUUUUUUAUACAUAUACAAGAUGCUGUCACUUAAAAUAUAGGCUACUUUUUAAAUCAAUUAUAAAUCAGAAUUCGGAUUAGAUUUUGUUUCAUUUAUCAAUUGUUUCUGUCAAUUGAAUCGUCUAUCACAUUUCAUUAAGCAGUCAAAAUAAGAGUGUCUAAUCUGACUUAUUUGUAACUAAGAUUAAAAAGACAAAAUUACGUAUCUUACGCAAUAUGUAAAAUAAAUGAAGAUCAUAACCUAUAAAUAAUCAUUUAUAUUAUUUAUAAACAAUUUUUGUGCAUUAACUUAUAUAAAAAAUUGGAUUCAAAAGAUAAAGAUAAGUACUUGAUUUCACUUAGUUAUCUAUAGUAAUUUUUAUUUUUGUAUGCUAAGGUAAC